UUAAAUUGAAGAGUUUGAUCAUGGCUCAGAUUGAACGCUGGCGGCAGGCCUAACACAUGCAAGUCGAACGGAAACAGGAAGCAGCUUGC
rnacentral:rRNA from 1 species